GAUGAACGCUGGCGGCGUGCCUAAUACAUGCAAGUCGAGCGAACGGACGAGAAGCUUGCUUCUCUGAUGUUAGCGGCGGACGGGUGAGUAACACGUGGAUAACCUACCUAUAAGACUGGGAUAACUUCGGGAAACCGGAGCUAAUACCGGAUGAUAUUUUGAACCGCAUGGUUCAAAAGUGAAAGACGGUCUUGCUGUCACUUAUAGAUGGAUCCGCGCUGCAUUAGCUAGUUGGUAAGGUAACGGCUUACCAAGGCAACGUUGCAUAGCCGACCUGAGAGGGUGAGGGGCCAGACUGGAGAGGAGACAGGGCCAAAACUCAAAAGGGAGGAGGAAGUGGGGAAUCUGCGGGAAGGGGGAAAGGCCGAAGGGAGAAACGGGGCGAGAGUGAUGAAGGUAUUCGGAGGGUAAAACUUUGUUAUGAGGAAAGAAAAGUGGUGUAAGAAACGGAGAAAAUCUGGACGGUACAUAAUCAAAAAGCCACGGCUAAAUACGUG
rnacentral:rRNA from 1 species